rnacentral:rRNA from 1 species
UACGAAGGGGACUAGCGUUGUUCGGAAUCACUGGGCGUAAAGCGCACGUAGGCGGAUUCGUAAGUCAGGGGUGAAAUCCCGGGGCUCAACCUCGGAACUGCCUUUGAUACUGCGGGUCUUGAGUCCGAUAGAGGUGGGUGGAAUUCCUAGUGUAGAGGUGAAAUUCGUAGAUAUUAGGAAGAACACCGGUGGCGAAGGCGGCCCACUGGAUCGGUACUGACGCUGAGGUGCGAAAGCGUGGGGAGCGAACAGG